GACGUAGGGCGCGAGCGUUGUCCGGAUUUAUUGGGCGUAAAGAGCUCGUAGGCGGCUCGUUGCGUCGGCUGUGAAAACCCGCGGCUCAACUGUGGGCUUGCAGCUGAUACGGGCGGGCUGGAGUUCGGUAGGGGAGACUGGAAUUCCUGGUGUAGCGGUGAAAUGCGCAGAUAUCAGGAGGAACACCGGUGGCGAAGGCGGGUCUCUGGGCCGAUACUGACGCUGAGGAGCGAAAGCGUGGGGAGCGAACAGG
rnacentral:rRNA from 1 species